UACAGAGGGUGCAAGCGUUGUUCGGAAUCAUUGGGCGUAAAGGGCGUGUAGGCGGUUUGUUAAGUCAUGUGUGAAAUCCCUCGGCUCAACCGGGGAACGACGCAUGAAACUGGCAAGCUAGAGUACCAAAGAGGGUGGUGGAAUUCCCGGUGUAGCGGUGAAAUGCGUAGAGAUCGGGAGGAACACCUGUGGCGAAGGCGGCCGACUGGGCCGACCCUGACGCUGAGGCGCGAAGGCGUGGGGAGCGAACGGG
rnacentral:rRNA from 1 species